rnacentral:rRNA from 1 species
GAUGAACGCUGGCGGCGUGCCUAAUACAUGCAAGUCGAGCGAACAGACGAGGAGCUUGCUCCUCUGACGUUAGCGGCGGACGGGUGAGUAACACGUGGAUAACCUACCUAUAAGACUGGGAUAACUUCGGGAAACCGGAGCUAAUACCGGAUAAUAUAUUGAACCGCAUGGUUCAAUAGUGAAAGACGGUUUUGCUGUCACUUAUAGAUGGAUCCGCGCCGCAUUAGCUAGUUGGUAAGGUAACGGCUUACCAAGGCAACGAUGCGUAGCCGACCUGAGAGGGUGGUCGGCCACACUGGAACUGAGACACGGUCCAGACUCCUACGGGAGGCAGCAGUAGGGAAUCUUCCGCAAUGGGCGAAAGCCUGACGGAGCAACGCCGCGUGAGUGAUGAAGGUCUUCGGAUCGUAAAACUCUGUUAUUAGGGAAGAACAAAUGUGUAAGUAACUAUGCACGUCUUGACGGUACCUAGUCAGAAAGCCACGGCUAACUACGUG